GACGAACGCUGGCGGCGUGCUUAACACAUGCAAGUCGAACGGAAAGGCCCUGCUUUUGCGGGGUGCUCGAGUGGCGAACGGGUGAGUAACACGUGAGUAACCUGCCCUUGACUGUGGGAUAACUUCAGGAAAAUGGGGCUAAUACCGGAUAGGAGCUCCUGCUGCACGGUGGGGGUUGGAGAGUUUCGGCGGUUGUGGCUGGACUCGAGGCUUAUCAGCUUGUUGGUGGGGUAGUGGCUUACCAAGGCUUUGACGGGUAGCCGGCAUGGGAGGGUGACCGGCCACCUGGGGCCUGCGAUACGGCCCAGACUCCUACGGGAGGCAGCAGUGGGGAAUAUUGCACAAUGGGCGGAAGCCUGAUGCAGCAACGCCGCGUGCGGGAUGACGGCCUUCGGGUUGUAAACCGCUUUCGCCUGUGACGAAGCGUGAGUGACGGUAAUGGGUAAAGAAGCACCGGCUAACUACGUG
rnacentral:rRNA from 1 species